rnacentral:lncRNA from 1 species
UCCCUAAUAAGGCAGAGGACGGCUGUCCUGUUGGGGACACUGGAGAAGGCAUCAGCUGAGGACACAGCUGUGGAGAAAGAACAGAGUUUGCAGACAGAGAGAUAGAGAGGAGCGUUCGGUAGCCAUCUGCAGGGGGAGACUGCAUUUAUUAAUGGUUACUUUGUAUACUUUUUGUCUCAGUCGCUGUUUCAUUGUUGGGAAGAGACACCAUGGCCAGGGAGAGGUUUAGUCCAUUUAUUGUCAUGGCGGGGAACAUGGCGGCCUGGAGGCAGACAGGGGUGUUAGGGAAGUUGAGAGUUGCAAUCCAGAUCCACAGGCAGCAGGAAGAGAGAGACACUGGACCUGGCCUGGGCUUUUGAAAGCUCAAAGCCCACCUCUAGUGACAAUCUCCACCAAGUCCACCCUUCCUAAUUCCUCCCAAGUAUCUCCACACCCUAAUGACCAAGCAUCAAAUAUAUUAGCCCACGGUAGCCUUUCCUAGUCAAGCCACCAUGCUUACUCUCAGUCAUGCUCUGGGCUCCUUACUCUUAGGUAAUGAAGUUCUUACAUUUAGCUGACGUGAGUGACUAUUCCGUGUUGACAGAGUGAGGCCUUGAACCUGGGACUUUCUAAUCCAUGUCCCACUUUCAGAUGAGCAAGCCCCACUGUCUAAAAAUACAGCACAUUCCCUCCUGUUCGUAGUGUGUGUGCUAUAAACGGCUCUUCUGUAUCCACAGCGCUGCCUUGUGCCAAGUACCAGGUUCUCAGUUUAGCAAAUUCACUGGGGUCACCUGUGGCUUCCCAGGGACCACACCCUCCUUGCUUCUGUGAUAUCCUUGUCCUAUCAGAUCCUGGAGUCCUGCCUGGUCCCUGUCUGGCCGUGUGCUGCCCUGGACUCCUGCUUGUCUCCAUGACUCCUGGACCUUAUCAUAUGUGAGGCAAACAGACCUGAAGUGACCCACCCGGGGUCACAUAUUUAGAAAGGGGUGAAGACUGGUUCACACACAACCUCUGAGACACAAGAUCUUGCUCGCUUCUACUCCCUGGCUGCGAAGGUAACCUGGGAAGCCCGAUUAGCAACUCUAACUAAGACUUCAAAGUGUGAACUAUAGAAAGAAAGCUGACUAAGCCAGACUGCAGUGAGAGGCUGUCUAGAGAAUAGAAAGAUGGAAGACUGCCUGGAGGAAUGGCCUGCUAGGUGGACUCUCAGAGAGGGAGAUGGGGAGGACAGCUAGGGAGACUUACAAUCAAUCCCCGUGCCUUGAGGGGUAUUCAUAGCAGCUUGAGUGGAUGAAAAAAAAAAUUAAAGAACACAUGAUUGAACUAAAAUAUGCUGCAGGAGCAUGCUAGCUGCCAGAGUGAUUGGUGAGACAUACUGAUGCUGGGACAAAGAAUGAUGCUGAGCUUGCUGAGUGCCCUGACAAUGGUGAUAGGAAAGCUGUAUUGGACAUAUGUUCUUGACCAAACUUUGCUUGCCUGUGUCCCAGAUUGGACAAGCUGCCUUGCUUCAAGCUUUUAGACCUUGUGGGACAGAGAACAUGGAGACUGUGGAAACUGACUUAGAAAAAUUAAUCAAAAGGAGAAGUU